rnacentral:rRNA from 1 species
CUCUUUUAAUUGAGGACUAGUAUGAACGGUUGGAUGAAAAAUAUACUUUCUUUAUUUUAUAUAAAUAAUUUUAUUUUUUAGUUAAAAAGCUGAGAUGUUUUUAGAGGACGAGAAGACCCUAUAGAACUUUAUUAUAAUUUAUAUAAUAAUAAUAUAUUUUUAAUUUUUGUUAUAGGAGUUAUAAUUUCAUUGGGGUGAUGGAAAAAAUUUUAUAACUUUUUCUUUUAAAAUCAUAAUAAAUGUAUAUAUGAUCUUUUUUUAAAAAAAUAAGUCUAAGUUACCUUAGGGAUAACAGCGUUAUUUUCUUGGAGAGUUCUUAUCGAUAAGAAAGUUUGCGACCUCGAUGUUGGAUUAAAGAUAGUUUUAGGGGUAAAAAAUUAAAAUCUUGGUCUGUUCGACCAUUAAAUCUUUACA